rnacentral:rRNA from 1 species
UGCCAGACUCCUACGGGAGGCAGCAGUGGGGGAUAUUGCACAAUGGGGGCAACCCUGAUGCAGCGACGCCGCGUGAGCGAUGGAGUACUUCGGUAUGUAAAGCUCUGUCAGCAGGGAAGAGAAUGACGGUACCUGACCAAGAAGCCCCGGCUAAAUACGUGCCAGCAGCCGCGGUAAUACGUAUGGGGCAAGCGUUAUCCGGAUUUACUGGGUGUAAAGGGAGCGUAGGCGGCAGGGCAAGCCUGAUGUGAAAGCCCGGGGCCCAACCCCGGGACUGCUCUGGGAACUGUGCGGCUGGAGUGCGGGAGGGGCAGGCGGAAUUCCUGGUGUAGCGGUGAAAUGCGUAGAUAUCAGGAGGAACACCGGCGGCGAAGGCGGCCUGCUGGACCGCGACUGACGUUGAGGCUCGAAAGCGUGGGGAGCAAACAGGAUUAGAUACCCGGGUAUG